GAUGAACGCUAGCUACAGGCUUAACACAUGCAAGUCGAGGGGCAGCAUGGUCUUAGCUUGCUAAGGCUGAUGGCGACCGGCGCACGGGUGAGUAACACGUAUCCAACCUGCCGUCUACUCUUGGCCAGCCUUCUGAAAGGAAGAUUAAUCCAGGAUGGCAUCAUGAGUUCACAUGUCCGCAUGAUUAAAGGUAUUUUCCGGUAGACGAUGGGGAUGCGUUCCAUUAGAUAGUAGGCGGGGUAACGGCCCACCUAGUCAACGAUGGAUAGGGGUUCUGAGAGGAAGGUCCCCCACAUUGGAACUGAGACACGGUCCAAACUCCUACGGGAGGCAGCAGUGAGGAAUAUUGGUCAAUGGGCGAUGGCCUGAACCAGCCAAGUAGCGUGAAGGAUGACUGCCCUAUGGGUUGUAAACUUCUUUUAUAAAGGAAUAAAGUCGGGUAUGCAUACCCGUUUGCAUGUACUUUAUGAAUAAGGAUCGGCUAACUCCGUGCCAGCAGCCGCGGUAAUACGGAGGAUCCGAGCGUUAUCCGGAUUUAUUGGGUUUAAAGGGAGCGUAGAUGGAUGUUUAAGUCAGUUGUGAAAGUUUGCGGCUCAACCGUAAAAUUGCAGUUGAUACUGGAUGUCUUGAGUGCAGUUGAGGCAGGCGGAAUUCGUGGUGUAGCGGUGAAAUGCUUAGAUAUCACGGAGAACUCCGAUUGCGAAGGCAGCCUGCUAAGCUGCAACUGACAUUGAGGC
rnacentral:rRNA from 1 species